CAACAGCGGGGCUGGAGGCAGAGUGGGAAGAGUUGAAAGGCUGACAUAACAGAUAUAGCCAAGAGCCUAAGCACAGAGAGAGAAGAAGAUCCAGGACAGGAUUGGCGAGCCUGUAAAGGAGACAUAGACUGCAUGAUCAGGCAAGUUGGAGGAGAACCAGGAGGGAAGACCAGAGAGAACGUCUACAUCGACCAUGUCAAAUGCCAUUGAGAGGUCAAGAGAGACCUUUCUCUCAAUUAUUUUCAAGGGCAGAGACUGGCAAAAUAUGCUGGUUUGGGUACAGAUGAGCUGGAUGACAUGGAGCAAAUCUUUCAACCUUGUAGCCUCAGUUUCCCUCUUUGGAAAAGAUGCAUACAUGUUCUUGAAGCGCUGUUGGAAUUCCAUCUUCAUUCUCUACAACCUCAGUCAGCAAAGACUGCGUCUCCUGCUCCUGGUAUUUCAGCCCCGGAGUUUUUUCCUCAUCUAGUUUAAUCUCAAUGAAAAAGCGUUCGUGACUCCUCCUGUUCCUCUGCCAAAGGAAGCCCCCGACCAAGGAAUGGGUGCCGACCUUUAUCGAUGGUGCCGGGGUGUAAAUGUUCUUUUUAUGAGCGGAAUUUCACUGUUCUGGGCAGGUGGGAGGCCAGGUCCUUAGAGAGAAAUGGGGAGAGCUGUAAAUCUGGGAGGAAAACAGCAGCUCUUGGGACAGGGCAUCAAAAAGGGCAGAAGAAAGGGAGACUAUGUGGCUGUUUGGUGUCAUAUGCAAACAUAAUAAAGGUACCUGAAAUGAUUUCA
rnacentral:lncRNA from 1 species